UUUUAUUUGAAAUAGGGAAUCAUUGAAGGAACAAGGUUUCUAAGCGCAAUCCUCUGAUUUUUAAAGCCUUAACCAAAUACAUUAAGAAGAAUUUAAAGAAAAAAAUCAGGAGCCGGAGAUGGUUAUUUUUUUCCCCACACUUAAUAUUUCUUUACACAAAAUCACAUGCAAGGAUGUGCUUUAGAAGAACGGGGAGACUUUCUAACUUUACCGGGUCCUGGACCGCAGCUGAAAAUAAUUCCCUUUCAACGGUUCUGGAAUUCAUUUUCUUUGGUCAAGUAUCAAGAUUUUGAGUUUUCAAACACAAAUUCAAAUGGACUUGAAAGUAGCAGAGGUUUGGUUUGCCUUGCCAUCCAACAUAUUGCUUUGUUCCUGGAGACUCAACUUUGUUUUAUUACCUCAAUGAUUUGGAGCCCUGAAAAGUUUGUUUUAAGAGCUGAAAACCUUACGUUUCUCCGAAGAUUUACUAUUGAUUUUUUUAUGCUUUGUGCACAUGGCUUUGCGUUGAGAUUCCAAGCAGCAAUAUCAACAAACAGCUGUUUUAAAAUAUGUGCUAAUAAAGAGAGUCCCUUUGUGAUAGAUUUGAAUGCAAAUAUUAGUAUUAAUAGUCCUUUUAAGUGGCUACAUAAAUCGAAAUAUUCUUGCUCUCUGUCUACCUUUCAUUGUUAUGCUUAUGUCACUAGUUAAAAGGUAAGACUAUCCCCUUAUGUGAAUGAAGAAAUGGAAACACUAUUUGAUAUAGAUUUUUUAUUUCCGUUCUCUCCCAGUUGAAAUUCACAGGGCAAAGUUGUUUACCUAGAAAUAUGUAUUUGUUACUGAUAAAGUUAGUUCAACUGAAUUUUGACAAUUCCUUUUCAGGUUAAAAGAAAGAGUGUAUUUUAAAACGAUACAACCUAUUUAAAGACAUUUUUACUGAAAUUGAGUGGAACUUGAGAAUAUAUGGUUAAUUUACAAAUCACAAUUAUUUCUGGACAAAGGUAUAUAUGUGGGGCAGGCGGGAUAAAAUUAUUAUUCUAUUAAAUAAUGCUUUCUUUUUUCUUUUCUUAAAAUGGGAAUGAAUGGAUAUUUGCCGUGUCUGUUUGUAGGAAGGAUUUCAACAGGCUAUUAAAUCAACACAAGCAGCCCUUGUAGCCCUAUAAUUUAUGGCCGCCUUUAAAAGGUAGUAAACUACACUAAUUAUGUAUCAGCAUAAAACAUAAGCAGGUAAAUCUGGCAAGGAUUUGAAAUAGUUCUAUAUAAUCCUUUCUCUUCUACCACUGCCAGAAUAAUAUAGUCACCAUAAAGAGCAUUACAUUUCUUUGUUUAAAAAACAACUGAAUCACGAAAGAAACAUGCACACAAUGCAGAGAAGUCCAAAUAUAUAUAAAAUACAUAAAACCUAUGCUCCUCUGGUGUAUUUUCUGAAGCAAAAGCCAGAGUUUCUAAAAUCAAAGAACAUUUAUUUUUAUGUUCCUAAUUCCAAACCACACAGGAGUCAUUGCAAAACUACUCAAGGGAACCAAACAAAAAAACUGCGAAAGCCACCCAACACUAAAACUGUUUCAACUACCUGUCUCUUGCUUUGAGACUUCGAUUUUGGAAGGAACUAAGAAUGGACAAAGAAAUUACCAACCUCUUUCGCUCUUUAAAUUACUUUGCAUCUUUCCUGUUUCGAAUGCCUCUAUGAAGACUGCUAUUAAUUCUGUUCCAUAUAUUUCUUUGUCUGUCGAGACACUCGCAUUCACCAGCCAUAUAAGAUGAAUGGAUUCAAUCCGGAAAAUUCCAACUAGGUUAAAUAUUUAUCACAAUAAAAUCUCAUUGUAACAGCAUCCCCCUCCACCCCCCAUAUGCAAGCACUAGGAAAUAUGAACUCUACACAAAACUAUCCCACAACAGAUUUUUUUCCCGAAGUCCUUACCUCCUAAAAUUUCUAACAGUGGACUGAAUUGUUUCUUGCUGUUAUCGCUCAGUAAAUCGUCUUUUUCGGUGCACUGGAGUUCUGUAAAUAAGCAACAAGCAAUGCCUAAAUGAGAAUCAGAAAGGAAGAUAUUUAUUCAUACAAAAAGUAUUUGGUUUGCUUAAUUCUUUUAAAAGACAAAAGUCGUGGAUGUGCAUAGAACUACUGAAGGGAAUCCAUUGAUUGGUGUAAUGUGUAAAAGAUUAUUUUAUACAACAGUAAAGAACACUGGUAUCUGAACAUGCCUUUUGUGGUAGACUGCUAUGCCUUCUGUCUCCAAGUGUUUGGAAAUAUUGUCAUUCCAAACUCUUGUUACAUGAAUGUAUGCUUUAUUUUCCUCUGGGAAACCUUUGUUUAGGAUCAUUUAAUCAAGAGCAGACAUUAAACACAACUAGCGAUGUUCAUCUCUGUUGAAUAAAUCAAGGAAGAGGUUCCAGUUUAAAUGUAGGACACGGUAUACUAGGAUUUUUAUUCAAAUACUUAAGGAUUCCAGCCCGAAUCUAUUCCCAUUAAAUUCUAUGAGAGUUCUGCCGUUGACUUCAAUGAGAGCAGGAUCGAACCCUUCAACUCUUUAAUAAAAGCUGUUGUGGAAAAAGAAAAAGACGAAGCAGAAACAUUUAGCACUUCGAUAUUGUAAUUUUUUGUCGGUCUUAUAAUAUUACAGACCCCAAGAAGCCAAUAAUCAUACUCUUCAAAUAUUUUGGAUCACAUUUACGAAGGUAUUUAUCAGAUAUAAUAACGUACUCCAUGCAUUCAUUAUUCCUAAUAAAAUCCUAUGUAUUGUAUCUUAAGAUUGCCAGCAAAUGUAAAUGCUAAUAGCUAACUAACACGAUUUCUUGGAAGAAUGUCAUCUGAGCCUUGGAAAAUAUUACGUCUGUCUUGGGAGAACUUUUGGAGAAGAGAUUUUUGCUUUGCUAAUUUAGUAGCUCCAUAAUUACUAUAAUAAUUUGAAAUUUGGUGUAGAAUUACAGUCUAUAGAAAAUAAUGCAAUAAUAGCUUACUGGGCUGUUUAUUUCCCUCUCAUAAAUUUAGAGGGCUCACUGAUAACAUCUAUAAACAAAUUGAAAGUUAAUUUUUUCAGAUAGCUAUCUCCAGCUUUAAUUCGGUUGCCUGCUGUUUUCUUAGCUCUGAUAUUCACAUCAUUCCAAAAAUACAGUGGGGGCAUAGAAUACUUGUAUUUUAUGUUAAAACUCGUUCUUUAACCAUUUUGAUCCAUAAUCAAUAAUCAUGUUAUCAACUACAAUAAAAUUGAUCCGAAUGUCUUGAUUGGAUUUAACCCACCCUCCCACCCCCCUUUAAAAUAUAGAAUGUGCAUCUGAAAAUGGUGCCAACGACUUUCUGCUAUUUAUUUUGGAGCUAUUAAGUUACACCACAAUAUUUUAUACUGCCACAGUCCUUUAAACUAUACUUCUUCUUGAAAGAGUUGCUAAGUAGCAAUAAAGCACUUUACAAACGUUA